GGCGGACUUGUAAGGCAGUUGUGAAAUACUGCGGCGCAACCGUCGAACUGCAGUUGAAACUGGAAGUCUUGAGUGCACGCAGGGAUGUUGGAAUUCAUGGUGUAGCGGUGAAAUGCUCAGAUAUCAUGAAGAACUCCGAUCGCGAAGGCAGAUGUCCGGAGUGCAACUGACGCUGAGGCUCGAAAGUGCGGGUAUCAAA
rnacentral:rRNA from 1 species